rnacentral:tRNA from 1 species
UUAAUUGAAGCCAAAAAGAGGCCUAUCACUGUUAAUGAUAUAAUUGAAUAAGGAUUCCAAUUAAG